UCCUCUCCUUCCUCAUGGAGAAAAAAAAAAAAAAAGCAAAAACAAUGGAGAAGUCAAGAAAACAAGAAUAUACUUAAAAAAAAAAAAGAAGGAAUAAAUAAUUGAAAAAAUGGCCCUGGUUCACCUCACCAGUAGAGAUUGUUGGCGUUGGACGAAAGCUUGUUAAAGUGACAAAAGACAAUCUUACAAUUUGAAAGAAAGACAAUUUAAAGAUUAGUGCUUUCAGCUCAACAACUGUGACAUGGCUGCAAAACCAAUUGCUGAUACCAUAUGGCGGGGUAGUUUCAUGAUCUCCCGUCCAGAGAUGACUUUGAAUCUUAAAGCCCAUUUAUCAAGUAAAGCAUGCACAAAAGUAUGGCUGGCAGCUAAAGAUAUGGCGGAUAUGCUCUAUCCUGAAUUGCUUCCCAAGCGUGAUGUGUGGCCUAAGAGUUUUAAAACUUCUAAACUGAUUGAUGAUAAUAUUGCCAUUUAUUUCUUUUCAGUUAAAGGCAGAGACGAUCCAGUUUUUGAAAAUCUGCUGUAUAACUUAAAACACUACGACAUUGCUUUAAAAGCCUUGGUUGGUGAUUCUGAACUCCUGAUAUUUACUUCUUCUCAUCUGCCGGAAAAGCAUCACAGAUUUGAGGGUAAAUUAUAUCUAUGGGGCGUCUUCAGUGGAAGACAAGCUCCUCCUCAACACUCACCCGAUGAUUGUUUCAUUCAUAAUGCCCGAGUCACACAAGCUUCAACCCCUAAUUCAGCAAAUGAUGGAAAAGAUAGAAGUUGCAAGGAAUCCUCCAAUAAGAAAGACUCUUCACCUACCUCAAAAUCAGCUAGAAAGGGAAGGCCGCUCGAUGAUGCUUGGCAACAUGCUACUCCAGUAGAUGGAAAGAAGCAGAGGACAGUUUGCAAGUAUUGUGGAUUUAUCUCUUCCUCUGGAGGCAUUACUUAUCUUAAGACACAUCUGGGUGGCGGCGAUCCAACAGGUUCACUAAAGGGUUGUCCAAAUGUGCCACCAGAAGUCAAAAGAGUGAUGAAAGAAUGGUUACAAGGAACUAUACGAGCGGCGAAGGCCCCACAGCUAGAGGAAAUCAGGACUGACUUUGAAGCAGCACCUGCAUCAAAAAAAUCAGUUAGAAGGGGAAGGCCACUUGAUGCUGCGUGGGAACAUGCUACACCCGUUGAUGCAAAAAGGCAGAGAGCUGUUUGCAAGUAUUGCGGUUUCAUAUCUUCUUCUGGAGGAAUUACACAUCUAAAGGCCCAUUUGGCUGGAGGUGAUCCAAAAGGGCCCUCAAAAGGUUGUCCCAAUGUGCCGCCUGAAGUCAAAAGGGUAAUGGCGGAAUCGCUUAACAGAACAGUGAAAGGGGUGAAGGCCAUGCAGCCAGAGGAAAUCAGGACGUAUAUGAAAGCGGAAAAUGAUUGGUCUCCUCCAAGGUCAGAUGACUAUUCGUUGAAUCAACAGAGAGUUGUAAAGAAUGCUCAGUACUCACAUUUAGCGAAUGGGGGAAAUUCUGUAAAUGAUAUGACCAUGUCAAAGCAAUCAGAGAAAGCACGUGUCGAUAGUUAUAUGGAGGUUAUGAGUUCUCAUAAUGCUUGUAAGUCGAGCUUUUUAAGCAAACCUACGUCUCGAGUAGGUUUUAUUUAAUAUGUGCAUCAGUAGGGCUAUGAAGGGAGACUGCUUAAUCUAAUUGUGAGAACAUGCUCCAUAAUUUAUGACAUGGCAAAACAUACAUGAGGACAGAUGACGAAGUUCAUUCUGCUAUGCUUUAUCAGCAACAAGUUGGAGUGAUUUUGCAGAUGUAUUAAGCCGGGGACAUUUAGUUGGUACUUGCUGAGAAUGCCAAGUUGAAACUGAAUUUGAAUCUGACAUUAUCUAACACUCAGGUAUUCACUAAACAUCAAAUACAAGGUUGCGUUAAGAUGCAAAUACUCUUUUGCAAAUCAGUUGGAGAUGAACUUACUUUAGAUAUGCAUGCAUAGGUUUCCAGUCUUUCAUUUUGGUCAUGAUAUUUGGCUAUUAUUCUCUGAUUCCAUCGUCACAGCUAUAUGUGAUAUGCGUAAUAUCUUUAGAAUGCUUUUCAUAAAUAUUUGUCUCUUGUAUUACUUUUGAAUGUCUAGUUCUGGAAAUGCAAAAGGCACGAAUUAUCAAUUCGAUUUUCACUGAUGAAUGUAUGAAGGUUUCUUUCUCA